rnacentral:rRNA from 1 species
GACGAACGCUGGCGGCGUGCCUAAUACAUGCAAGUCGAGUGAAUGAAUGGGAGCUUGCUCCUGUUCGUUAGCGGCGGACGGGUGAGUAACACGUGGGCAACCUGCCUGUAAGACUGGGAUAACUUCGGGAAACCGGAGCUAAUACCGGAUAGUUUCUUUCUUCACAUGAAGAAGGAUGGAAAGACGGUUUCGGCUGUCGCUUACAGAUGGGCCCGCGGCGCAUUAGCUAGUUGGUGAGGUAACGGCUCACCAAGGCGACGAUGCGUAGCCGACCUGAGAGGGUGAUCGGCCACACUGGGACUGAGACACGGCCCAGACUCCUACGGGAGGCAGCAGUAGGGAAUCUUCCGCAAUGGACGAAAGUCUGACGGAGCAACGCCGCGUGAGCGAUGAAGGCCUUCGGGUCGUAAAGCUCUGUUGUUAGGGAAGAACAAGUACCGGAGUAACUGCCGGUACCUUGACGGUACCUAACCAGAAAGCCACGGCUAACUACGUGCCAGCCGCCGCCGUAAGAC